rnacentral:rRNA from 1 species
UACUCCUACGGGAGGCAGCAGUGGGGAAUUUUGGACAAUGGGCGCAAGCCUGAUCCAGCCAUGCCGCGUGUGUGAAGAAGGCCUUAUGGUUGUAAAGCACUUUAAGCGAGGAGGAGGCUACUUUAGUUAAUACGCAGACAUAGUGUCCAGAGCCGCGAGCAGCUAGC